CGGACGGGUGAGUAACACGUGGAUAACCUACCUAUAAGACUGGGAUAACUUCGGGAAACCGGAGCUAAUACCGGAUAAUAUUUUGAACCGCAUGGUUCAAAAGUGAAAGACGGUCUUGCUGUCACUUAUAGAUGGAUCCGCGCUGCAUUAGCUAGUUGGUAAGGUAACGGCUUACCAAGGCAACGAUGCAUAGCCGACCUGAGAGGGUGAGCGGCCACACUGGAACUGGGACACGGUCCAG
rnacentral:rRNA from 1 species